UUUAUUAAUUCAAUUUUAUUCUAUUGUAGAGUGUCCUCCGGCUCCAGAUGGAAUGGAGCGAUUUGCCUGUCCCUCACCUGACAGGCAAGGGCGAUAUCAUUGUAUAGACGAUCAUGUCCUUUGCGACGGUUUCACCGACUGUCCUAAUGAAGAAGACGAGGACCGUCGUUCUUGCAUGUUCUACAAAACGACAAAGGCACAUCUAGACGUAUUGGCAGACGCACUAUUGCGAUGGGCGCGAGGACGCUAAGCAACCAUGCCCUCGCACACUAUUUUGGGGCGUCCGCCAGUCAGGUCCAGACAACUCCAAAAUGGUUCAACUUCAGCCCAACUUCGUCUAGUAUACUUUCAGAGAGCAACAAGACUUCGCUAGCUUCAGCUACGGAGAACAACCAAUUAAGCAUCCUUUAAUCUUCAUUCUUAUGACAAUUGUGAUGCGCUAGUUUUAUUGGGAUUAACCGAAGCCACUUUUAUGUGAUAUAGGUAGACAUGCAUUCAUGAUAACUCGUUGAUUCUGCAGGAAGUUUAUUUGAUAUAUUUGUUUUAUUAGCUCAAACUACACUGCAAUCUGUUCGAAGGCGAGUUUGUUUUUAAAUGGCCAAAAGUGUCACCAUGAAUGGCGGAAAUUUAUAUCCUAACACACCUAGCGCACUCCCAUGCUUAUAUGUAAAGUAUAAGCAAUUUAUUUAGUCUCUCCGUAGUGCUGUCGCUAGUCAUGUAGUUCAUUUUCCAAGUUUAGUAUACCUACUUCAUAUUUCGCAAAAGUAAACCAGCCCCUCAACUAAAUAAUCUGAAGGCCUUACGGAUAAAUAUUUGGUUCUAUUUUUCACGUUAAUAGCAAAAUGCAUCUCUCAGGGGUUCAUUUACAGAAGUGCUCUGUAGUGUGGAUUAGUUUAUUUAUCCUGCACGUUUAUCAGGUAUAAUUUUCCAUUGUUUAAUUCUUCAUGGAUCAUUUUAUUCGAUUCUUAUUAUUUUAUUUUUGUUAAACAACUGAGAUCAAACAAUCAUGAU
rnacentral:lncRNA from 1 species